ACUUGGGAGGCUGAGGCAGGAGGAUCGCCUGAGCCGAGGCUGCAGUGAGCUGUGUUCAUGCCUCUGCACUCCAGCCUGGGCAACAGAGAAAGACCUGUCUCAAAAAAGAAAAACAAAUGUCUUUCCAGGCUCUGGGAAAGUUCCUGACUGGUGCACUCGGGAGACCCACCCUCGCCAGGGUGCACCACAAGCCCUGAGGCUCCUGGAGCUGAGGCUUUUGGAACCACAGGGUGAGCACAGUGUCUGGCACGUGACAAGUACAAUCGGCCUAUCCUGGAUGAAUGUUUAAAAUCCCCUCACCGUUCGCCAUCCUAGUGCUACGGACUUAACGUGUGUGUCCCCGCAAAAUUCAUAGGUUGAAUAAUCUCCAAUGUAAUAGUAUGGAGAGGUGAGGCCUUUGGGAGGUGACGAAGUCAGGAGGAUGAAGCCCUCGUGAAUGGGAUUAGUGUCCCUGCAAAAGAGGUCCCAGAGAGCUCCCUCGCCCCUUCCUCCACGUGAAGACACAGCAAGACAAUGGCCAUCCAAACCAGGAACUGGGCCUUGGCCAGAUGCUGAACCUGCCGAUGCCACGAUCUCAGACUUGCAGCCUCCAAAAUGGUGAGAGUCACACUUUUGUUGUUUAUAAGUUACCCAAGGUAUUUUGUAAAAGCAGCGUAAAUGGCCUCAGACACUUGCUGAGAGCUAUGAAUGCUCCUUUGCUUUCGUAAGAGACAGCUGGGCCGCUGGAGCACUUUUCCAAUCUCCAGUUUCCAGGACCCACCUCCUGCCUCCAUCCCCAGGGAGUGAGGCCCGCAGAUUGGUACUUAACCCACUUUGUGGUGAACCCCAUGGCCACACAGGCAGAAAUAGCGAUGCCUGGUCCCCGAGUGGCUCAAGGUGAAGUGCGGGACUCAUUUCCUGUGAGGUCAUGAUGGUCCGCAGAUCAACCUGAUGGGGUGGGAACUUUCCCAGCCUCUGCCAGCCUCGCUGUAAGAAAAGUCAUGAUUCUCUGCCCAUCCAGAGCCAGUCUGGGCUGUCUGAGCAGGACUGUGGGACUUGGCACCCUUCCGCCUGCUGCGUCUAACACUCCUCACCAGCCUAAUUCUUUGCCCCUACUCCGUACCUCUCUCAAAACACACAGAAGGGGGACAAAUGCGGCUUCUGACACAGCAGGUUCCUGGGCCCUUCAACCUCCUGGCACGUGCUAGAUUUCCACCUGCCCAUUUUCUGUAUGUUUCGGAACUAGAACUGAUCAAAUGCCCUCAAACACAUGACUUACACAUGGUGUCACUGAAAACCUGCAUUGCUAUUUACAAAUCAGCAUUUUUAAAAUUCACAAAUACGUUUUUAUCUGCACAUCAGAGGGUGAUAAAAAACAAAAGCCAAAACCCAGAAGCACCCAGAUCUUGCCGUCUGAAUACCGCUUUCCAGGCAAAUUCCAGGGCAGAGGCAGGGGAAGUAUCGGAAGAGCCCAGAGCAUCUUGUGCCAUAAAGUGGCUGGUGUGUCAAGGAUGGUGGGGAUGCACCACAUGGCAGAACACCACAGGAAGGGCAACUGCCGCCCACAUCUGGACAACUUGAGCACAAAAAUCAAUAAUGAUAAUGACAGAUUAGAACUCAGUGAGCACAGUAAGAAUCCUGCCGGGCACAGUGGCUCACGCCUGUAAUCCCAGCACUUUGGGAGGCCGAGGCGGAUGGAUCACCUAAAGUCAGGAGUUUGAGACCAGCCUGGCCAACGUGGCAAAACCCCAUCUCUACUAAAAAUACAAAAUUAGCCAGGCAUGGUGGUGCAUGCCUGUAAUCCCAGCUACUCAGGAGGCUGACGCAGAAGGAUCGCUUGAACCCGAGAGGCGGAGGUUGCAGUGAGCCAAGAUUAUGCCAUUGCACUGCAGCCUGAGCAACACAGCAAAACUCUGUCUCAAACAAACAAAAAAGAAUCCUUGCAUGCAUCUGAUAUAAGGAGGAGGGGCAGCAAAACAAAAACCGAGAGGAUCCUGCUGGCUGAGAAAGCCAUUGGUGAGCUCGCAGCUGCAGGGGAGCUCACCUGGAGAGCAUCAGGGCCCUCAAAGGGAAGCGCUUCAGGCAGCUGCCCGGACUCUCCACCCCAUGCUCUGCAGGGAGUGCAAUUGGGCUCUCCUUAGGAACAGCACCAGGGGCCAGGGGCCAGGACAAAAGCCUCCUGGGUAUUACAGAUUCCUCCUCCUGUUGGUUAAGCAAAGUGCUCCGCCCACACACCCUAUGCCUCAGCCCCCUCUCCACGCCUCCUCCUCGACUCGCACAGCACCCUGAAAGACAGCAGGGUGUUCAUGGUGUGGAUGUCUUAUCUGGGACUCUGAGCUCAAGGCAUAGUGCAUUCCGCCAGGUUCUGAACACUCUGUGCAACGCCCCUGCUGCUCACCUGCAGUCUAACUUCAGUGCAAUUUAUGUGAACAGCACUUUAACAAGGUUUUUCCUGAAGCAACAACAGCAGAACACUAAUACGGGGCUCACUGUGGACCCGCUUCCCUCCACCACGCCAGGCGUCCAGAUCCCACUCUCUUCAGAGAUGCCGCUUUUGACCCUCCCUGGAGCAGCCAGUAGGAUCUGCCUCCCUUCCCCCAGCACCCACGGCCACACUAAGCAGCCCCUGCUGCCUCCCGGGUGGGUCUCCGCAGUGUGCACCGUAAGGGCCAGUCUGCCUGUACAUCCCAGCCCAGCCACACGCCAUGCCAGGUACACAGCAGGUGCCCCUGGAAGAGGAGCGUCUAAAGAUAACACAACAAGAUAACAAGGAGGACGCCGCCUGCCUAACGUGUAAAUAACAGCCCGUUCCCUGCAUACCUUCGUGUGGAGCUUGGCCAACUGUUUCUCAUCGAGACUGGCUUGUUUAUACACCCGCUUCUUGUAUCGAAACUGGCACAGAAAACAAAAAAGAGAGAGAAAACAAGUCAAUACUUCUCAGAGUUGUUCAGAGGGAAAACGGGCCUUUUCCUUGGCUAUGUCACAGAAGACGGGGAACCCCACAGCAAACUUCCAGUUUUAAAUAAAUGACUGGUAUUUGCACCCCAGAGCCUACAACAUCCUCAGCAUCACUUUUGUCAAGAUUCUGUAGCAGUUUAGCUAAAAAGCCAUAUAAAGAAACAGGAGCAAGGGGAAGGGAAGAUCCUGCAGGUGAGAAGCUGGGAGGUCUCCCUCCCGGUGACCGGCUCCCCAGCUAACUGAGUGGUUAUGGUUCCUCCCAGGGGAAUGGAUCAGCCCUUGGCAAGGCAUUUUUGGUAAAUGAGGAUGCUGCUUCAAACACCAGGUUUUUCUCCUACAUUGUCCACCUUUGUUAAAACACACCCUAAAAGCCUGGGCUGGGAAAGGCCCCACCUCCUGUACUCCUGCAACCUCUGCCCAGAUCGCUGAAGCCACUGUUUUUCCCUCCAAACAGCAGCGCCUCCUUUGAACUGGAAAUUACAUCACUGCAUGAACCAAGGAGCACAUCUUCCUCAGAUGCACGGAGUAAGCAACAUUGUCGGAGUGGGCUUGAUAAAGAAGCUGAGCCUCAGAGACUCCAAGUAACUACCCCAAGGUCACACUUCUAGAAAGCAGUAGAGGUUUGGUUUAAACCCAAGUCAAAUCUCCCCAUCUCCCGAGUUCUUGCUGUUCAAGUGAUAGAUGAUGUUCCUCUCUAUACACACCCACUGCCAAUCUUAGUGCAGGCAAAUCAUAAAUUAGAGGCAUAUCCCAUUCUAUUUCACUUGCUUUAUUGAGCUUCACAGAGAAGGUGUUUUUGCAAAUUGGAGGUUUGCGGCAACUCCGCAACGAGAAAAUCUAUCGGCAUUAUUUCUCCAACAGCACACGCUCACUUCAUAUCUCUGUGUCACAUAUGAGUAAUUCUUGUACUGUCAAAUUUUUCAUAAUUAUUAUAUCUGUUAGGAUGAUCUGUGGUCAGUGAUCUUUGAUGUUACUAUUGUCAUUGUUCUGGGGUGGCAUGAACCACACCCAUAUAAGAUAGGAAACUUAAUAAAAGUUCUGUGUGUUCUGACUGUUCCACUGACCAGCUAUUCUCCCACCUCUCUCCCUCUCCUUGGGCCUCCCUAUGCCCCGAGACACAAUAAUAUUGAAAUUAGGUCAAGUAAUAACCCUACAGUAGCCCCUACGUGUCCAAGUGAAAGGAAGAGUCACACAUCUCUCAUUUUAAAUCAAAAGCUAGGAGUGAUUAAGCUUAGCAAGGAAGGCAUGUUGAAAGCUGAGUCAGGCCAAAAGUGAGGCCUCCAGCACCAAACAGUAAGCCAUCGUGUGAAUGCAAACAAAAUGUUCCUGAAGGAAAUUAGAAGGGCCACUCCAGUGAACACACAAAUGGUAAGUGAAACAGGCCUUAGUGCUGACAGGGAGAAGGUUUGAGUCACCAAACUUUGAUGAUCAAGACGGUCACAACAUUCAUUUAAACCAAAGCCUCAUCCAGAGCAAGGCCCUGACUCUCUUCAAUUCUCUGAAGGCUGAGAGAGGUGAGGAAGCUGCAGGAGAAAGGCUGGAAACCAGCAGAGGUUUAUUCAUGAGGCUGAAGGAAAGAAGCCAUCUCCAUAACAGGAAAGUGUGAGGUGAAGCAGCAAGUGCUGAUGGAGAAGCUGCAGCAAGUUCUCCAGAAGAUCUCGCUCAGAUCAUUGAUGAAGGCGGCUACACUAAACAACAGAUUUUCAAUGUAGACAAGACGGUCUUCUAUUGAAAGAAGAUGGCAUCUAGGACUUUCAUAGCUAGAGACAAGAAGUCAACAUCUGGCUUAAAAGCUUCAAAGGACAGGCUGUCUUGUUAGGGGCUAAUGCAGCUGGUGACUUUAAGUUGAAGCCUAUGCUAAUAUAUCAUUCAAAAAAACCGAGGGCCC
rnacentral:lncRNA from 1 species